CUCCACUACUUUCAGCUCUCUCCUUUAAGCUCCACUAGUGAAGAUAGCUCACCUUCACUACUCUCAGCUCCUUUAUUCUCCACUACAGCUCAACCCUUCUUUUCUUCUCCACGAAGCAAUCUCCUCUCCUCUCCUCUAUAAAAGCCCCCUUCCAACCUCAAGAGAACAAGCAAGAAGUAGUAGAUGCGUAAGUGUUCAAGUAUUUUAGCAAGCAAGCGCUCAGUGAAGAUGUACCAGAAGAAAUAUCAGGUUUGAUUUCUCAGUUUUUGUCCUCAUUACCGAAGCUUACUAAGAAGAUCAAAGAUGAGCCUAUUCCAGAGCACAUUCAGAGAUUGUUUGACGAAGCAACCGAUGACCAUCAACACCAUCACCACCAUCACCAUGAUCAUAUAUACCAUGAUCAUAUAUAUGGUGUUGAUCAGGGAUGGGGUAUGUGAUUCUUAGUAUAGAAACUGUCACUGUGAUUCCCACAUAAUUGCCCUUUUUAAAGUUUCUUUGUGUCUUAUUUGGUAGACUGCAGUCUUCUCAUUUUCCCUGCAGUUAUUCGAAGUUUUCUUUUGGUUGAGAUGCCUCCACCUUGUGGAGCAAUUUCCGCUUGUUUCUAUUACUAACACCACUAGUAGUGAACUAAUGGGCCUAGAAAUUGUGUUGGAAGUUGCAAGUUUUUCAUUUUCCUUCUUUUUUCUCCUCUUGUUAUUUUAAAUCAUCAAUGUGGAUCUUCUAUUUGGAUGAAAAAGACUGCUGAUUACCUUA